rnacentral:rRNA from 1 species
CGAGGGGCAGCAUGGUCUUAGCUUGCUAAGGCUGAUGGCGACCGGCGCACGGGUGGGUAACACGUAUCCAACCUGCCGUCUACUCUUGGCCAGCCUUCUGAAAGGAAGAUUAAUCCAGGAUGGGAUCAUGAGUUCACAUGUCCGCAUGAUUAAAGGUAUUUUCCGGUAGACGAUGGGGAUGCGUUCCAUUAGAUAGUAGGCGGGGUAACGGCCCACCUAGUCAACGAUGGAUAGGGGUUCUGAGAGGAAGGUCCCCCACAUUGGAACUGAGACACGGUCCAAACUCCUACGGGAGGCAGCAGUGAGGAAUAUUGGUCAAUGGGCGAUAGCCUGAACCAGCCAAGUAGCGUGAAGGAUGACUGCCCUAUGGGUUGUAAACUUCUUUUAUAAAGGAAUAAAGUCGGGUAUGCAUACCCGUUUGCAUGUACUUUAUGAAUAAGGAUCGGCUAACUCCGUGCCAGCAGCCGCGGUAAUACGGAGGAUCCGAGCGUUAUCCGGAUUUAUUGGGUUUAAAGGGAGCGUAGAUGGAUGUUUAAGUCAGUUGUGAAAGUUUGCGGCUCAACCGUAAAAUUGCAGUUGAUACUGGAUGUCUUGAGUGCAGUUGAGGCAGGCGGAAUUCGUGGUGUAGCGGUGAAAUGCUUAGAUAUCACGA